rnacentral:rRNA from 1 species
GUGGGGAAUAUUGGACAAUGGGCGCAAGCCUGAUCCAGCCAUGCCGCGUGAGUGAUGAAGGCCCUAGGGUUGUAAAGCUCUUUCACCGGUGAAGAUAAUGACGGUAACCGGAGAAGAAGCCCCGGCUAACUUCGUGCCAGCAGCCGCGGUAAUACGAAGGGGGCUAGCGUUGUUCGGAAUUACUGGGCGUAAAGCGCACGUAGGCGGACAUUUAAGUCAGGGGUGAAAUCCCGGGGCUCAACCCCGGAACUGCCUUUGAUACUGGGUGUCUGGAGUAUGGAAGAGGUAAGUGGAAUUCCGAGUGUAGAGGUGAAAUUCGUAGAUAUUCGGAGGAACACCAGUGGCGAAGGCGGCUUACUGGUCCAUUACUGACGCUGAGGUGCGAAAGCGUGGGGAGCAAACAGGAUUAGAAACCCUGGUAGUCC